CUGUAACUGACGUGAGGAGGAAAGCAUGGGAGGAACAGGAUUAGAUACCCUGGUAGUCCAUGCCGUAAACGUUGGCACUAGGUGUGGGGACAUUCCACGUUUUCCGCGCCGUAGUAACGCAUUAAGUGCCCCGCCUGGGGAGUACGCCGCAAGGCUAAAACUCAAAGGAAUUGACGGGGGCCCGCACAAGCGGCGGAGCAUGCGGAUUAAUUCGAUGCAACGCGAAGAACCUUACCAAGGCUUGACAUGAACCGGAAUGAUGCAGAGAUGUGUCAGCCACUUGUGGCCGGUUUACAGGUGGUGCAUGGUUGUCGUCAGCUCGUGUCGUGAGAUGUUGGGUUAAGUCCCGCAACGAGCGCAACCCUCGUUCCAUGUUGCCAGCGGGUUAUGCCGGGGACUCAUGGGAGACUGCCGGGGUCAACUCGGAGGAAGGUGGGGACGACGUCAAAUCAUCAUGCCCCUUAUGUCUUGGGCUUCACGCAUGCUACAAUGGCCGGUACAAAGGGUUGCGAUACUGUGAGGUGGAGCUAAUCCCAAAAAGCCGGUCUCAGUUCGGAUUGAGGUCUGCAACUCGACCUCAUGAAGUUGGAGUCGCUAGUAAUCGCAGAUCAGCAACGCUGCGGUGAAUACGUUCCCGGGCCUUGUACACACCGCCCGUCAAGUCACGAAAGUUGGUAACACCCGAAGCCGGUGGCCUAACCCCUUGUGGGAGGGAGCCGUCGA
rnacentral:rRNA from 1 species